UACGGAGGGAGCUAGCGUUGUUCGGAAUUACUGGGCGUAAAGCGCACGUAGGCGGCUUUGUAAGUUAGAGGUGAAAGCCCGGGGCUCAACCCCGGAAUUGCCUUUAAGACUGCAUCGCUUGAAUCCGGGAGAGGUGAGUGGAAUUCCGAGUGUAGAGGUGAAAUUCGUAGAUAUUCGGAAGAACACCAGUGGCGAAGGCGGCUCACUGGACCGGGCAUUGACGCUGAGGUGCGAAAGCGUGGGGGAGCAAACAGG
rnacentral:rRNA from 1 species